UACGGAGGGGGCUAGCGUUGUUCGGAAUUACUGGGCGUAAAGCGCACGUAGGCGGCUUUGUAAGUUAGAGGUGAAAGCCCGGAGCUCAACUCCGGAAUUGCCUUUAAGACUGCAUCGCUAGAACGUCGGAGAGGUGAGUGGAAUUCCGAGUGUAGAGGUGAAAUUCGUAGAUAUUCGGAAGAACACCAGUGGCGAAGGCGACUCACUGGGCGACUGUUGACGCUGAGGUGCGAAAGCGUGGGGAGCAAACAGG
rnacentral:rRNA from 1 species